UACGUAGGGUGCGAGCGUUAAUCGGAAUUACUGGGCGUAAAGCGUGCGCAGGCGGUUCGUUGUGUCGGUGGUGAAAGCCCCGGGCUUAACCUGGGGAAUGGCCAUGGAAACUGGCGAACUGGAGUGUGGCAGAGGGGGGGUGGAAUUCCGCGUGUAGCAGUGAAAUGCGUAGAGAUGCGGAGGAACACCGAUGGCGAAGGCAGCCCCCCUGGGCUAGCACUGACGCUCAGGCACGAAAGCGUGGGGGAGCAAACAGG
rnacentral:rRNA from 1 species